AAGAAGCUACUUUGUGCGUAUUGUUAAUUAAGUUUUAACCUUUAAGCUGUAAUAGGGAGUUUUAUAUCGAAGCUGGAAUGUCAUGCCUCCAUUGCAGAGGACGACAGGAACGUUUCUGCAAACACCCACUUUGAGG
rnacentral:sRNA from 1 species